UGGGGAAUAUUGCACAAUGGGCGCAAGCCUGAUGCAGCCAUGCCGCGUGUAUGAAGAAGGCCUUCGGGUUGUAAAGUACUUUCAGUCGGGAGGAAGGUGGUAAGGUUAAUAACCUUAUCAAUUGACGUUACCGACAGAAGAAGCACCGGCUAACUCCGUGCCAGCAGCCGCGGUAAUACGGAGGGUGCAAGCGUUAAUCGGAAUUACUGGGCGUAAAGCGCACGCAGGCGGUUGAUUGAGUCAGAUGUGAAAUCCCCGGGCUUAACCCGGGAAUUGCAUCUGAUACUGGUCAGCUAGAGUCUUGUAGAGGGGGGUUGAAUUCCAUGUGUAGCGGUGAAAUGCGUAGAGAUGUGGAGGAAUACCGGUGGCGAAGGCGGCCCCCUGGACAAAGACUGACGCUCAGGUGCGAAAGCGUGGGGAGCAAACAGG
rnacentral:rRNA from 1 species